UCCCGAAGAACCAGGAAUGUCUUUUGUUUCUGUCAGCUAAAUCCUGUUUUGGUUUCGAGGAGAUAAAGAAAGGGUUACAGGUAGGGGUAACAAUAUCGCUGAAGUUAAAAUUAAAAGCACUAAGUAAGUAUAAAGACUCGGGUCUACUGAGCAGAAUGGGUGUGCACAUAAUAAUGUGCUCCAUUGGAGCAGUUCCAGACAUUCUUCCAGUUCACAGAGUAAAGCAAGUAUCUAACCUGGGAAGUAGUCACAGGACUUUUCAGCUCUGUAUUUGAUGCAAAUUACUUGGCGUGGGACAACACUGUAACAUCAUAAGGAUUUUUGCAGAUGAAGAGGAGAUGAAAGAGUCUUCUUUGGAAAGAAGAUAGCAACAAGAUCAAAGACAGCAUCCAAUCACCUGAAGAAAGCCAGGUCAUGGAGCACUGCAGCUAUUUUCCUCCAACCUGAGCAUACAGGAUUGAAGUACGCUUCCCAGCAUGUGUUGUGCCUCAGCAUUCACGAGCAUCCUCAUGAAGCCAAGCUGUGAGUCAACGCAGUGUCAAACUACAGGGAAGAAGAAUAUCAGUCAUAUGGCAUUCUUAAUCACGAGGAGAAAUGGAUCUGACUAAAUGAAUAUGUAAAUGCCAGUUUACAAUUAAAUCAUGAGCUCUCCCUGAUGUGCAAAAUGCCCUGGUGAAAAAUAUGUUACUGUAUCGGAUCUGUGGUGCUUGACCUCAGGAGGCUGUCCUUAAUGAAAAGAAGAACAAAGCAGGGGGGGGGAAACCAUAGCAAGAAAAUGCACGUAAUUUAAUUUCUUCUUACGUAGUAUCAUUCUCAAAGCUGCUGGUAUUUUUCUAUUUUGAAGCAGUGCAAUCGACACAAAGCUUUUACAGCACACUUUGACAUUUAAAACACAGCUUCCUGCGCUUGCAUUCAUGCGUGGUUUCCUGAAUGAAGGGUGGUAAGUAAACGCUCACUGCUGUUCUCCUGCGCACAGGAUGGGAUUUGUUAUACACAAGGGCAGGUUGCUUCUUGAACCUGAAAACCCCUUGCCCUAACACGUCAGCAGGUGCUGGGAAAGGAGGCAGGGCUUUUCCUUCUGACCCAGAUUUGGUAUUUAGAGCUAUUGGCCAUGGUAUGGGAGGGGAUGGCUUAUGUCCUGCCACUCGCUCAAUGAGAAUGCCCCCUCCAGUGUCGGAGCAGUGCUCAGUGGAGCACUUGCCUUGCUCUGCAGCUCAGUGUUUCAUUUUGGUGUGGUGGGAUGGGCUGGCUCAGAGAAGGAUGCCAUGCUGUACUCCAGAUUACCACUAUUUCCAAAGCGGGGAAGGCAAAACUUGAACAGCUUUAAACUCUGUGCUGAAGGAACUGAGAUUGCACAGCUGAGACCAGACUUCCACCAUCCUUAGUGAGCACUUGAACCAGUCACGUAGUUAGAUGGAAACACAUUAUUUCAUCUCUUACCGGAGCAUGUGUUUGGAGAUCUUGUCUAAUCACAAGGCCAAGCACUGCAAGGAGGAAAAGGUUCAGACCCCAAGGGGUGCUUGUGAGGCUGAGCAGGGUGGUCCACAGGCAGAGCUGCACUUCUUCCAUGGAACUUCCAGCCAUGACAGCAGCAGAAUGGAAGGGGACAUAAAUCCCUUUAACAAAUGCAGGCCUUGUCAGAGUUCAGAUCUCAGGAAAGAUGAGGUGUAAGCACCAGAUCUGCAUCAGUGAACUGGGCGUUGUGCGUGUUCACAGCAACCUGCUCUGACUGCUACCCUUGCACCCAUAGCUGCCUCAUGGCUAACAGUCCCACUGUUCUUGUCUUCUCCUCCUUAACUCAGUAUGUUUUAAAAACACUAUUUUAAUGGUGAGGCGAGACUCCAGAGGUUAACUCAGAUGUU